CCUACGGGAGGCUGCAGUCAAGAAUAUUCCACAAUGGGCGAAAGCCUGAUGGAGCGACGCCGCGUGCAGGAAGACGCCCUUCGGGGUGUAAACUGCCUUUAUAAGGGACGAAUUCGUGACGGUACCUUAUGAAUAAGAGGUUGCUAACUCUGUGCCAGCAGCAGCGGUAAUACAGAGACCUCAAGCGUUAUCCGGAUUUACUGGGCGUAAAGCGUCCGCAGGUGGUUUGACAAGUCAUUGGUCAAAUCCUGAGGCUUAACUUCAGGACUGCUGAUGAAACUGUCAGACUUGAGGCUGGGAGAGGCAAGCGGAACUAUCGGUGUAGUCGUAAUAAGCGCUGUUAUCGAUAGGAACACCAAAGGCGAAGGCAGCUUGCUAGAACAUGCCUGACACUCAUGGACGAAAGCGUGGGGAGCGAAGGGGAUUAGAUACCCUUGUAGUC
rnacentral:rRNA from 1 species